rnacentral:rRNA from 1 species
ACGUGAUCUGAGUUCAGACCGGAGUAAUCCAGGUCAGUUUCUAUCUAUAAAGGGCUUUUUCUAGUACGAAAGGACCGAAAAAGCAUGGCCAAUGACACAUUAAGCCAUAUUAAUAACUUAUGACUUAUACUUAAUUAUUAAAAAACCUUAUAUUUUACUCAAAACAAGAGAA